AAAGACGCUGUAGACAGACAGACAGAUAUGUACGGGUCCAUUCGGUGAAGAGCACCUGAUACCGUAUUUACCCGAUUUUAAGACGCGCUUUCUUCACAUUUCAAAACUUCUGAAAUCAGGGUCGUCUUACGUUUGAUGGCAUCUAAGAAUCGAUAUAGAUAACCUACCAGUAGAUUAAGGGUGCGUCUUAAAAUCGAGGAUGUACGGUAAUAGAAAAUGAUUACGUCGUGAUCGCGCGAGAUAUUUUGUAGUUGCAACUCAGAAAUUGUUGUAUCUUGAAUUUUUGUUAAAAACAGGGUUAGAGUCGAGUCAGUGCGGUUCAGGGCGGAGCCUUGAUUGCUGCUUUCUGAGUGUCUGUGAACGUCCUGGUACUUAUUUUGAAAACAGUACUAUCAAACAUAGUACGAAGUAUGGAACUUGUAGUUUGUUUAAUUCUGACCUCUUGGUUUGAGGAGAAAGUGCCAUCCCCUUUAAGUAGCUAGGCCUGAGUGCAUUUCGUGAGCUUCUUAUUGUGUUUAGCGAUAAAUCCUCUCUUUUAUUAUGAUUUAGGCCCACUUUUUUCAACUUAGAACUGCGUUCUAGACCGCCUUGGCACUUAUAUUUUUAGGACUACAUCCAGCCGGUAGUACCAGGUGUAUCUUUCGUCCUAGACGGUCCGGCCCCUUCCACCCAAAUUAUCAAUAUUUGACACUAACUGACCGAUUUUCAUUAAACUUAGUAUGUAAAGGAGCCUUCUGUGCCACUAGAGAAUUUCCCACCUACGCACAUUUUAACUGUCAAUCGUCGAUAUUAACAACAUGGAGUCUGUGCGAACUUGUCAAGCAACAUUAUGCCAUUCAACAUAGGGUAUUGUGGUUUCGUACGAUGCUUGAUCUUAGGAAAUUAUGAAGAUCUAACUUCUAUGAAGACCUUUUUUUAUAAAAAUAUAAAAUAACAGUAAGACGACGGCUCGAAAUAUUUUAGUAAGGUAAUGAACUUUGCGUGGUAUAUUUAUGUUAUAAAGACAUCUGUUAAUAAUAUACGAGGGGCUUCAAACCUACACUGUUUAGUUCUUCGGAACCCUGAUAUGCGUCAUUCUAGUGAUGAUACGUUUAAUGUUGUCUCAUUAUAUUGAAUCAUUUAUUUGCUUGACAGAGUCGUGUGCUUAAAAUAAAUAGUCCAAAAGGAAAAUAAUUCCUUAGGCUUAUAUAAUCUUUUCAUCUUCUUCGGCCUUCUAUCUAUCAUCUUUAUCCUCAUCACCGUCAAAGCAAUAAAGAGUUUGGCUGUUCGGUCGAAUUUGAUCGCCAAACGUAUCGACUGCAGCUAAAAUGGACGUCGCUGCGCAGCUGUAGGCAAACGCAUUAGGUACAAAUCGUCUUUUGAAGAUUAUUUUACUAACAGAGUGCAAACGUUGCCUUCUGUAAUGCUGAGAUAGGAUUAAUAAAGUAGAAGGUGGCUGUUAAAAUUGUCCGGUCUAAAUGAAAAUUUAAUUUUUUUUUUGUAAAAUUAUCCAAUAAGAAUUUUAAUCAAAAUCCCUUUAUCUAUUUUCGAGUUGUUUUAUACUUGCCGACAAACGGACAGACGGAAAAAGCGAUUUUGACUGUGUGAAGCCCAGUGGGAACUAUAUACACCGCCUGCUUUAACAAUCAGUAACUCUGGCUUUUGUAUUGAUGGGUUACGUAUGAUUCUCAGUGCAAACGGCCAUUAUUUCCUUGAAUAACAUUAACCUUGUUUUUUGUGAUGGCGAAGUGCUGUUUUUUCUUAGGUACGGACAGAAUUCCUAAAUAUUAUUAGACAAGCUGCAGCUUCAAAGAGCUCUCUGCCAGGUUUCAUUUAAGGAAAUAGUCGCUGUUUAUUCUGAAAAUUAUACCAAAUACACAAAUAUAAUUUGUGCGGAAAGUUCAGAGCUAUUUGUGUUAAAACAAGAAUGACAUAUAAUGUCCACGUUGUGCUUUGUAUGGUUAAACUACACGGAGAAGCUUAAACAAUAUUCUCAGAGAUAAAAUCGAACCUCUGGCUCCAGCGAGCGACCGGUCUAAGAUAAUGUGUAUUAACUGCAUGACCUCCGAAAUUAGUUUCCUUUGUGUUUAUAAAAAUAUUUAAAUUAGAUUAAAUUAAUGUAAAUAUGUGCAGUUAGAUUUUACUUGUUUAUACUGCAUCGCACAAGAAGAAGUUUCCAUUUUAAAAUUAGCUGUCAUUAAACAUAAGUGGGUAUUAAGAGUCAGAUAAACUUCAGAAACUUGUAGUCGAUAGUUGCAGAACUGAGGGUUUACGAGUGGACCCAUUAGUGGCCCAUUUCUCCACAGAAGCAGUUUCACCCAGCGCAACAAUAAUAGAGCAAUGCUACCUAAAUUGCUUUAGUUUCGAUUCAAGACAGUGACGUAAGAAUAACAGAAGUAGCCGGGCACAGACGAGACAGUAUUAGCGAUACAUGCAUAGAACAAACCGAAAUACGUCACUGAAUUUCAUAAUGUAUCUGUCAUUCUGUUACUAUUAUAUGUAUUCGGUGAAGGAGCUGGACCCAGCCUGGCUAUUAAGCCGUCUACAACCGCCUACGAAAUUCUGUUCAGGCUAUGUGCUUAACAUUAGAGACAGAGAAGUUGCCGUACCUUCGCGGCGAUCUGAUUCAUUCAAAAAGACUUUUGAUAGCAAAAUUCUAUCUACAUGACUUGAUUCAUUCUACUUUUUUACCUACGGCACAUUCAUUAAACAAUAGUAAUAAUUCAAAUAAUAAUUUAAUUAGUUAUUAUUAGUGUGCUGUAUCAACAGCCAGAAGGCCAAUUACAGAUAAUAACAAUAAUAAUAAUAAUAAUAAUAAUAAUCGCAUGGAACGAUUACAAUAAACAUGUCAGUGACCUGAUUCACUCUCUGACCUUAUUUACCUUCAUACAAUGCAUUUAUGUCGGUCCUAUGGUGUUCUGGAUGCAGUGGGGAAUUCCUGCCAAGUAUUCAACUCCCAACAAAUAUGUCUGCUUCUUACAGUCGAGGUAUACGACUCACAAAUUGUGUGUAUAAAUUAAAAGACAGAGACAGCAUCCUUUAAAAAUUACACAGCUAUAAAAGUGUGAGUACUUGUCUGCGGAAGUCACAGAAGGAUAUGAACGCAAUUGUUUUAGUGAUAAGCAAAACAAUAAGUAGACCGAUAAUGUACAUCAGUGAACACGAACUUAGGGAUGGCCAUCUUGGCAGCGUAGUGUUUGGUGUCCCCUUAGGAAGUAUUGAUUUUACUGUCAGGCUUCAACUAAAUUUUGUUGAGUAUAUUUUGAAGUGUAUAUUCAUACAUUUUCUUCAGUUACUAAAACUGAUUAAGGCCCGAUUGUUAAUGCAUUAUAACAUUUAAAACAUGUGUGCUUGUAUGUACUGAAUUACUUAAAAUAUGCAACUAUGUAUAAAACAUUAAGACAAAUGUCAUUAUCAACUGAUAUAUUUCUGAUUAGACAUACGCCUCGUUCAUGUUCCAUAUUCUGUAUUCAACUCUUUGUUUGUUUUCAGUAGGCAAGUAAGAUUAACUUCGGGAUCUAUUUAUUUUUUGUGUAUAUACUCUACCUUCUCAGCAAAUGAAUCUUCUGGAAUUUUUGUGUAAGUGGUGUCAUUUCGUGCACCACAAUACGUAACUUUACGUAGAGGCCUUGAUAAGUAAGGACCUCCGUCAAAGGAGUCCUACCAAGUGUCGGAAAGAGGACUCAAAAUCUGGCAGAAAUAUUCUAGAAUAAUACCAAGGUUCAAGUUGAGCUAUAACGCCAAGACAAGCAUGCGCACACACAGAGACACAUUAUUUAUGUUUUGUAAGCUCCGAGGUCAAGAAAGAGUAGGAGCUAUACUUCCACUCCUCCCAAGCGCCUGCAUGGCGUAUAGUGGGACAACUUCAAUUCUCUUUAAACCGCUACAUUUGUAUUCUUUAAAAUGGGAGGAGAUUUGUGCUCAAGCCUAUACCAAUGCUAUUGCUAAUUUAAUUUUGUGUUCAAUUAUUCUUAGUUUCUGUUUUUGUUUUUAAUUUAUCUUAUUGUGUUGAUUCUGUAACCUGUUGUAUCUGUGGGCUAGCACAUUAAAAUAAAGACUUGAAUUUAAGAACUGAA